UUCCAGACUCCUACGGGAGGCAGCAGUGGGGAAUAUUGCGCAAUGGGCGAAAGCCUGACGCAGCGACGCCGCGUGAGGGAUGAAGGUCUUCGGAUCGUAAACCUCUGUCAGCAGGGAAGAACGGUCACUGUGCUAAUCAGCAGUGAAUUGACGGUACCUGCAAAGGAAGCACCGGCUAACUCCGUGCCAGCAGCCGCGGUAAUACGUAUGGUGCAAGCGUUAUCCGGAUUUACUGGGUGUAAAGGGAGCGCAGGCGGCACGGCAAGCCUGAUGUGAAAGCCCGCGGCCCAACCGCGGGACUGCAUUGGGAACUACCGGGCUGGAGUGCCGGAGAGGUAGGCGGAAUUCCUAGUGUAGCGGUGAAAUGCGUAGAUAUUAGGAGGAACACCAGUGGCGAAGGCGGCCUACUGGACGGUGACUGACGCUGAGGCUCGAAAGCGUGGGGAGCAAACAGGAUUAGAUACCCCAGUAG
rnacentral:rRNA from 1 species